AACGAACGCUGGCGGCAGGCUUAACACAUGCAAGUCGAGCGCCCCGCAAGGGGAGCGGCAGACGGGUGAGUAACGCGUGGGAAUCUACCCAUCUCUACGGAAUAACGCAUGGAAACGUGUGCUAAUACCGUAUACGUCCUUCGGGAGAAAGAUUUAUCGGAGAUGGAUGAGCCCGCGUUGGAUUAGCCAGUUGGUGGGGUAAAGGCCUACCAAGGCGACGAUCCAUAGCUGGUCUGAGAGGAUGAUCAGCCACACUGGGACUGAGACACGGCCCAGACCCCAACGGGAGGCAGUAGUGUGGAAUAUUGGACAAUGGGCGCAAGCCUGAUCCAGCCAUGCCGCGUGAGUGAUGAAGGCCCUAGGGUUGUAAAGCUCUUUCACCGGUGAAGAUAAUGACGGUAACCGGAGAAGAAGCCCCGGCUAACUUCGUGCCAGCAGCCGCCGUAAGAC
rnacentral:rRNA from 1 species